AAAAAAAAAAUCCCUGUCCACAUGAAGCUUAUCCUCAAAGGGGAGGAAGGGGAGGGAGGAGAAAGACGCUAAACAGGACCAAUAGAUAAAAUAGAUCCUACCGUCUGGCGAGAAGUAAUAGAUGCUCUGGAAAAACAGGCACGGUGUGUGGGGGUGGGGUUGCAAUUCUAAAGAGGGUAAUUCAAGGGUAGAAUCUGACAGCUGACAUUUGGGUGAUGCCUGAGGGAGGUGAGGGAGCCAUGAGAUAUCUGGGGGAACAGCACGCCAGGCAGAGGGCACAGCAAAUGCAAAAGCCUGAGGUGGAGCCAGUCUGCACUGUUCCGAGAAGAGCAGGAGGCUGACGUUGCCAGAACAACGGUGUGAGUGAGGAGAGAGCAGGAGGCGAGGGCCCAGAGCAACGGGGUGCGAUCACGUAGAGCCUCACAGGACAUUUUAAACUUCGGUUGGAAUCGGAGUGAAGCUUCAGCCGGCUGCCUGGCACACCAUUCCUCCCAGGCCCCCCACAGCCCUGCAGCUUGCUGGGCAGCGGGCACGGCAAUGCUGAGGCAGCUGAGGGGACGGGCGGCUCCGGUCCACCCCUAACUUGGAGACGGCCUAAUCAGAAGCCGCGAGAACAAUAAUAGCGGUUACCACUUACUGACCCCUCACAGCACAUCAGGCUCCGCUCUGCGUGCUUUGCAAACAUCCUCUCACAGCGGCCUCCUCUCAGCCCUUUGAGAGAAGGGCUGUCUUGAGGAAACUGAGGCUGAGAGGUCUGGCUGCAGGAUGGCCCGUAGACCUCGGCCCUGCUCAGGCCCUCCUGCCUCUCCCACGGAGCUAAGGAGUCAUCACUGCUAGAACCCCUGCCCCACUCCCUGCCCUCUAGACCAUUCCCCGCCCAAAUGGUCCCAGGCCCUCCCAGGUCUGUCCUGAUGGCGGCCAGCAUGGCCCAGGUAUGUACUUCUAGGCCCCAAGGGUGGUCAACGGAAGGCUGUUUGUGAAGACUGGGGAUGGAGCUUGGACUCGCGGGCUGGGGUGUCCACACAUAGACACAUACCUACACAGGGACCCUCAUGGUGUAGGAUGGAGCCUGGGUGGGUAGAGUAGUGGACUGACCUCUGUUCCUGGCUGGGGACUAACUCUGUCUGUACAGCCACAUUCGGGCCCAGUACUCUAGGUGUCCCAGAAUCCAGAUUAAAACCUGGCCUUCCUGAUCACCGUGAAGACAGGAUUGUUCAGGUAGCAAGACAGAGUCUCGUUUAUUUAACCGUUUACUUGACUCUUACGGUACUUGGGUCCUAAACGCAUUUUUGCCCGGAGCCCUGAUACAUUAGGGCUGGAUUUUUGACCAGUUUUCUGCAUCCUUAGCACCUAAAACUGUACCCGGUACAGAACACAUGCUCAGCAAAUUGUUAAAUAAAUGAAUUAAAAAAACCCUGGGGCGAUGCCCCAUAUGCUCAACGGGCCCCCAGAAGUGGUUGGAAACGUGUGGCUCUCCUGUGUCAGGGCCUCAGAGUCUCAGCGUUGGGUGGGGCCCAACUCUGCCGUGGGAGGGGUGGGGGGACUGAAGACCCUCUUCCACCACCUGCCUGCCUGCCCCCCCUCCCCCUUCAUAAGUGGAGUUUUUCAUUCUUGACAGCAGAAAGAGCCCAUAUUUGGGAAUCAAGGAGACCGGGACCCCAAAACUGUCAAUUCCUGGCUAUGUGUGGUCAUUAAUCUCUCUGACCCUCAAUUUCCUUUAAAAAAGAGAACCAUAAAACCUCCCUCCCCAUGGUUGUAGGUGGGAGAAUUCGUGUAACUGACUCCAUGCAUGUGAAGCGCAUGGCCAGUCAUUGCCCAGUAAGUAUUGACCACUGCUGCCACCACUGCCACUCUCACCAUCACUGUCAUCGCCAAAGUGCCUGAGGCAGUUCCUGGCCCACAGCAGACUCCCAGACAAGGUACAAGAUGAGAAAGUUGAGGCACAGAAAGGUCAAGUGAUUUGUCUAAGGCGUCACGCCUGGAAGUGCUGGGAUUUGAACCUGUGCCCUGGAACCAUGCCUCCUCGGUGGAUUUUAGUGGGAGGCAGGCUCUGCCUUUAGUCAAAAGGCAGCUGGCCCCAUGGAGUUCCCCAGGUCUGAGGCUUCCAGACGCCCUCCGCUUCAUCCUUCAGAGCCUCAAACCUGCAUGUGCAUCAGCAUCACCUGGAAGCUCGUUAAAACAGACUGCAGGGCCCUGCCUGCAGGGUCUGAUCCGGCAGGUGAUGCUGAUGCUGAUGCUGCCGGUCCAGGGACUGGACUCUGAGUACCAGCUGUAAAGGAUGACUCACUCUCGCAGGAUGGAAACACUGAGUUCAACGUCAGCAAUCCUUUCAGCUUCGAGUUAGAUUCUUCACGUCUAUUGCGAAGAAAAAUUUUAAACUUCGCUUUAACAAAGGCACACAUGGAAUUGCCCUAUGCUUGCUGCCUCUUCAUCCUUCUUCCUGCAUCUGUGCCCUGGUAUUGUGAGGAAUGUUCCAAUUUCAGUGACAUCCCGGUUAGGGUUUUAUGGAAGAGGAAACAGAAGCCCAGAAGUUACUCAAAUGUGCCAGAGGUCACACAGCUGAUUGGCGGUGGAGUCAGGAUUUGAACACAGAGCCAAGACUCCAAGCCCACGCUCUUUCUCCUGUGCUGCUGGUGCUUGGACAAAGGGCUGCCCUAGGCUGGCCCCUCAUGCCUCACCUCGAUGAUGAAGUUGCCGAUUUCAUCAGGGUUGGCUGGACGUGGACGGUACAUGGGUGUGGGGAUGAAGAAACUUCUUCAGGGACAAGGCCACUGUGUCUCCUGGAAUGGGCAGAUAAUUUAUUCACCUUGGGAGACCGCAAACGGUGGGAACCAGCUAUGCCGUGACCGAGGUUUGAGGAGACAGCCUCUGCAUCCAGGCAACGGGGAAACGUCCAACGGCACACUUACACCAAGCGUAAAAGCGGAUUUUAGCCAAAGCCAAACUCACCAUCAUGGAAAGGAUUAUUGUGAUAGAAGAAUAAAUUCAUCAUUUUAUUUUUUAAAAAAAAUCAAUAAAUCACAGUAUUCUUAAAAUAUGGGGUUUUAAAAAAAGUCAUGUCAUGGGGGGCCAAUAAUUUCUCAGUACCAUUAGCUGCUAGACUGUGCUUUGCCUCAAAAAGAAUACACUGUUCAUUCUAAGAGAUAGCUAGCCCAAUCUUUUAAUAGUCACAUUAACUGGCCACCUGUUUUCCUAUUUGAAAGUUCACUACCACUUAUUAUUGUAGCAUUUUGCUCUUGCAAUAGUAAAUAUAAUGUUUAUACCUCAA